rnacentral:misc_RNA from 1 species
UCAAUCUCUAUUGGUCCAAAAGCAAAACCUGAAGCAGUUCCGAACUACAGUUCAGAGAUUUGGCAAAAUUCAUAGGAUCCAACAGAUAUGGACACUGACACCAAGCUCUUUGAUGAACCUGGAAGCUCAUGAAAAAGAGAUUUUUAUUACAAGGGCAUCAAUUUUGAUGACUCAUACUAUUACAAUAAUAAUUUGAGUCCCAGUCAGAACUUCUUCUAGAUAAGAACUCUUCCAGACAAAAUUAAAAAACACCCAGAAAAUCCAAAAUGGAGCCUGUAGACUAUUUUGACACAAGUUUCACAGUAUGUAACCCGUGACAGAUGCCAUCAGAACUCCAUACGGACUGACAGCAGAUUGUCUCUCUGAAGUUGAAAAAAUAUAUAUUUGUAUAAUUAAUUUUAGUCAGAUAAGUCCUCUGUAUAAUUAAUCUUAGUCAAAUGAGUCAUUUGUCUUUAUGUAUGACCUAGUUAGGUAUGAAUCAUGUGCCUAUCUAACUAGUUCUUAUCUUGCUAGAUGUCUCAACCUAACUAUUAGGUAGACAUGUGUUUAUAUAAAAAGUAGUUGCAAUAGUUCCAGCUCCCCUCCUAUAAAAAGGGAGCUUUGGUUUCAUUUAGAACAAGAGUUACCAAGCAAUAACAUUUCAGCUUCCUUAUCUUAUCUUAUGGCUUUCUAAAUUUCUCUCCAUU